GACUGAAAGGGAUAGACUUGAGAAGCUAUCAAGUGUUGGUCCAGUCGAGCUUUGACCACUCGCGGAACAUCAAUCCUCGCACUGAAAUAAUAUUGCCUUAAAGUUCUAUCUAAACACAACGGGCUUCGUAAGAUUUGCCGGACGAGAGAGUGCGACAGCGCCGUUUAAUUAUAUACUUGGAUAUACAUACGUACUUGGAAAUUCUCAGCUGUACAAUAUGAGACUGAGACUAUUGUACAUCGUCGUGUUCUUACUGGCGAUAGUGACAGCCACAGCGUUUAUAGUUCCGAUAAAAUUGCGAUGGAAGCAAAAGAGAACAAAAGUUAACACGCAGCUUCGUAGAUCAAAAUAUGCGCAUUUGCCGUGGUUGUCGAUGCAAUGAGAGAUCUAGCGCUCUAGAGCGAGUUUGUGGAACAAUCUCUUAUACGUGCGGCAUAAGCGUGCAACAAUAAACAAUAUAUAUCGUACCACUUUCGCCUUUUCUACAUAUUUAUUCGUAAUGAAUGAAGACGAGUGAUUCGAGUCUGCAAUUAUAUUCAUUAAUAUUCUCGUGUACAUCUCGAUUAUCUUUAAUUAUUUAUCAUGGUACGAUAAUAUAGAUGUUAUCGUUCAAAGUUUGCGAGAACUCGGCGAGAUUGUGUUCAGCAGCACGAGUUCCGUAUCUGCUCGUAAAUCCAAACGCUUGGAACCUGUCACGAAAAUACGCCCGAAGAUAAAGUGACUCACUCGUUUUCAAAACUAGGUAAAUUCUUCUUCGUCAGAGCAACGUUUUCCACGGUAUGAAUAUUUACUAUCUGGGGUAAUUGCGAUGCGUUCUAUAUUCGAACAUUGCUGCAAAUGGAUAUUAGUCUAACGUUGCAUACUCGAUGCAAUAUAUCAGCGCUUCCCCUCUUGCGAAUGUUCUUUGAGCAAAAGAAGAAGAAGAAGAAGAAGAAGAA